GGCUCAGGACGAACGCUGGCGGCACGCUUAACACAUGCAAGUCGAACGAGCGAAAGGUGCUUGCACCUCUAGCUAGUGGCGGACGGGUGAGUAACACGUGAGCAAUCUGCCUUUCGGUGGGGGAUACCAAUUGGAAACGAUUGUUAAUACCCCAUAACAUAACGAAGCCGCAUGACUUUGUUAUCAAAGAUUUAUUGCCGGAAGAUGAGCUCGCGUCUGAUUAGGUAGUUGGUGAGGUAACGGCUCACCAAGCCGACGAUCAGUAGCCGGACUGAGAGGUUGAACGGCCACAUUGGGACUGAGACACGGCCCAGACUCCUACGGGAGGCAGCAGUGGGGAAUAUUGCACAAUGGGCGAAAGCCUGAUGCAGCGAUGCCGCGUGAGGGAAGAAGGUUUUAGGAUUGUAAACCUCUGUCUUUGGGGACGAUAAUGACGGUACCCAAGGAGGAAGCUCCGGCUAACUACGUGCCAGCCGCAGC
rnacentral:rRNA from 1 species